GACGUGGCGGCGUGCUAUAAUGCAAGUCGAACGAAACUUCUUUAUCACCGAGUGCUUGCACUCACCGAUAAAGAGUUGAGUGGCGAACGGGUGAGUAACACGUGGGCAACCUGCCCAAAAGAGGGGGAUAACACUUGGAAACAGGUGCUAAUACCGCAUAACCAUAGUUACCGCAUGGUAACUAUGUAAAAGGUGGCUAUACUACCGCUUUUGGAUGGGCCCGCGGCGCAUUAGCUAGUUGGUAGGGUAAAGGCUUACCAAGGCAAUGAUGCGUAGCCGAAUUGAGAGGUUGAUCGGCCACAUUGGGACUGAGACACGGCCCAAACUCCUACGGGAGGCAGCAGUAGGGAAUCUUCCACAAUGGGCGAAAGCCUGAUGGAGCAACGCCGCGUGGGUGAAGAAGGUCUUCGGAUCGUAAAACCCUGUUGUUAGAGAAGAAAGUGCGUGAGAGUAACUGUUCACGUUUCGACGGUAUCUAACCAGAAAGCCACGGCUAACUACGUGCCAGCAGCCGCGGUAAUACGUAGGUGGCAAGCGUUAUCCGGAUUUAUUGGGCGUAAAGGGAACGCAGGCGGUCUUUUAAGUCUGAUGUGAAAGCCUUCGGCUUAACCGGAGUAGUGCAUUGGAAACUGGGAGACUUGAGUGCAGAAGAGGAGAGUGGAACUCCA
rnacentral:rRNA from 1 species